UAUUUUGGAUGGGGUGCGGAGGUUUAUGCAGGUUUUUGGUGUAAUGUCGAGUCGGACACACGUCAAGAUACAACACACGUUUAUUCAAGUCCGCUUACAGCAUCGGUCUGCAGGACACUACAGUAACUAGCAGCCACACAGACUGAAAUACGUAGGCAAGUUCUUGGUAAUAUAGGCGGAGCAACUACUAACAAGCACUACAAUUCGUUAGUAGGAAAUAACCAAUCUACAUCUUUCCUUGCAGAAACAAAAUGAAGCAUAGAUACGUGGAAACAUGGUGGCUAACCAAUAUGGUAGCCCAUUGGAAUCUACAACCAAUCUACAUUUGUCCCUGCUCUCAAUGCUAUCACCGAGUAAGCCUCCAUCCUUAUUCAGACCAUCGCUACUGAUCAGCAACGCAACUGAACCAGCCAUAUCCACACUGUGGCAUCAAGAGCAGAUCAGAAGCUGGACGUUCAGAAAUGGUUAAUUCACCUGCUGAUUUUUUCCCCAAACCUACUCUGCCAAAUGCAAUGCCCGGGGCAGCAGUCUGAUAAAAAUACUCCCCACUUGCCUGGCUUGGUGCCACGGGGAACAAAUCCAUAAAGUGCAACAUAAUUCAGGACAAAGCACCUGAAUAGUCGGCACCUAAGAAUUAAUUCCAGGUAUCACGUUCACAUUGCGGCUGCAGUGCGUACAAACUGAGUGACGUUGACUCACCAAGGCUACUUUGACAGCAUUUCCCAAUUCCACCACCUCAACCACGAAGAAAGACAAAGACAGUUGGCCACACCACCACUUGCUGGUUCCCCUUCACUUCACACACGUUGAGAUGCUGGAACACCCCCAUCCAACCGCAUUGAGAGAUUCUUCCCCACAUGGAACACAGCAGUUGAAGAGGUGGCUCACCAGCGCCUCCUCAAGGACAAUCAGGGAUGGACAAUAAGUGUUAGCCAUGCCAGUGAUGCUGGCUCCCCACGUAUGAACAAGUAAUAAAAGCCUUGUGAUUGA